rnacentral:sRNA from 1 species
CCAAUACCAAGGCACCGGAGACGGUGUCGCAUUCGCGGUCUAGUCUUGGGAGGACGUGAUCUCCGGCGCGCUAAUGCCGCUGCCCCGGUUUCAAGACCCGGUGUGAGAUCCAGACCUGCAACUAAAAUGCGAGGCGAAAGCCUCGCAUUUUUUU